rnacentral:misc_RNA from 1 species
AAAAAAAAAAAAAACCCUCAUCUCAAGAACUAGAAAAGAGAAGGUCUGUAAAUUGCAGGCUCACAUGGAGGCCAUUGAGGUUGAAUCACAAGAACCCAAUAGACCAGAAAGUGUUCUUGGUCCUAGAAGGCCUCGUCUCAACAAUUAUGCUUUUGCUUGCGCUCUUUUGGCGUCCACUAUCUCCAUCUUGUUAGGCUAUGGUAAUUCCUUUUCUUUUAUAUACCUUUUCUUCACAUCUCAUCAAUAAUAAAUCAAAUCCCACAAUUAGAAAUUGACAAAAUAAUCAAAUCUCGAUUUGGGUUUUGGUUGUUUUAGUAAGGAGAAUUGUUUUGGUGUUAUAUAUACAGAUAUUGGUGUGAUGAGUGGUGCAGUACUUUUCAUUAAAGAAAAUCUGAAAAUCACAUCUACCCAAGUAGAGAUUUUGGUGGGUAUCCUAAAUGUGUGUUCGCUCAUAGGCUCGUUGGCUUCAGGGAAAACAACAGAUUAUUUAGGGAGGCGUUACACUAUAGUUCUAGCUGCAGCCGCAUUUCUGAUUGGAGCACUCGUCAUGGGCCUAGCACCAUCUUUUCCUUUCCUCAUGGCCGGUCGUGUUAUCGCCGGAAUAGGUGUCGGUUACGCCCUCAUGAUCGCUCCAGUGUACGCUGCCGAGGUCUCUCCUGCCAUGACUCGUGGAUUCCUAACCUCUCUACCAGAGGUCUUCAUUGUUUUUGGAAUUCUGCUAGGCUACAUUAUCAACUAUGCAUUGUCAGGUCUGCCACAGCACGUUAACUGGAGGCUAAUGUUAGGUCUUGCAGGGAUCCCAUCUUUAUUCAUUGGUGUUGGGGUUUUAGCAAUGCCAGAAUCACCUCGCUGGCUUGUAAUGAAAGGUAGGUUGGGUGAGGCAAAAAGGGUUUUAAUUAAAGUAUCAGACAGCGCAGAGGAAGCUGAGUUUAGGCUUGUUGAAAUAACAAAAGCAGCUUCAUCUGGUUCAGGCCAUGGUGGUUCUUCAACUUCUAAUUGGCAUGGACAAGGGGUUUGGAAGGAACUUCUGUUAAGGCCAUCUCCGCCGGUUCGCAGGAUGCUUCUUGCAGCUAUUGGGAUCAAUUUUUUCAUGCAAGCUUCAGGUAAUGAUGCAGUUAUAUACUACUGCCCUGAAGUGUUCAAGGCAGCAGGAAUCCACAGCAAGAAAAUGCUAUUUGGUGUGAAUGUGAUCAUGGGAUUUGCUAAAACUUUCUUUGUUUUAGCAUCGGCUCUUUACCUGGACCGGUUUGGAAGAAGGCCUCUUUUGCUGUUGGGCUCCUCAGGAAUGGCAAUUUCGCUAGUUGUGUUGGGCUUGGGAUCUAAGUUCCUUGAGCACUCUACCAGCAAGCCAGUGUGGGCUAUUGUGAUGUGUAUAGUAGCAGUUUGCGGGUUUGUUUCCUUCUUUUCUAUUGGGCUUGGACCCAUUACAUGGGUCUACUCAUCGGAGAUUUUUCCGUUGAGGUUACGGGCUCAGGGCUCAGGCUUGGCCAUAUCAGUGAAUCGGUUGGUGAGUGGAGUGUUGUCCAUGACGUUUCUGACCAUCGCCGAGAAGAUAUCGUUUGGGGGAGUGUUUUUUGUGCUUGCAGGAAUAAUGGUAAUUGGUACAGUGUUCUUUUAUGUGUUUAUGCCAGAGACGAAAGGCAAGACCCUGGAAGAGAUUGGGGCUCUUUUUGAAUGCACUGACAAUGCAAAGGAAAUGAGAGAAAAGUAGUAGUGUUUGAGGCAUGAGACACUGUAACAAAUAUAGGUUUCAAUAUCAUUUUUUAACGAUAAUAAAUAACGUAAAGGCAACGUAUUUUACGCACUAAGAUAAUAUAUAAUGUAA